rnacentral:rRNA from 1 species
GAGAGGGAGCCUGAGAAACGGCUACCACAUCCAAGGAAGGCAGCAGGCACGCAAAUUACCCACUCCCGGCACGGGGAGGUAGUGACAAAAAAUAACGAUACGGGACUCAUCCGAGGCCCCGUAAUCGGAAUGAGAACACCCUAAAUCCUUUAACGAGGAUCUAUUGGAGGGCAAGUCUGGUGCCAGCAGCCGCGGUAAUUCCAGCUCCAAUAGCGUAUAUUAAAGUUGUUGCGGUUAAAAAGCUCGUAGUUGGUUCUGCGUGCCACGCUGUCGGUUCACCGCCUGUCGGUGCAACUGGCAUGCCGUGGCAUGUCCUGUCGGUGGCCUCACAGGCUUCGUGGAGUGCCCUACACGUUUACACGUGUAGGUUGUCGCGCCGCGUCGUCCUUGUAGGCCGGCUCAAUCCUGCCCCGGUGCUCUUUACCGAGUGUCGAGGUAGGCCGACACUGUUUACUUUGAACAAAUUAGAGUGCUUCAAGCAGGCUCUGAAAGCAGCCUGAAUAGUGGUGCAUGGAAUAAUGGAACAGGACCUUGGUUCUAUUUUGUUGGUUUUA